GAAUUGACACCACUAACCCAGCCUUCAAGUGGCAUUUUGGCCACCUAACAGAGGGAACCUAGCUGGCUAGGCAGGUGUUGAACUCCAACCAUCCCUUUCCUUUGGCUGUCGACCACUCAUGGCAUCAAUGGCCAUGAGUGAUUGCAUGGCAAUGGAUGGCCAGAUUUGGCCAAGGAAUUUCCUUAAAAACUUAUUCCCCUCUCUACCUUCUUCUCAUUCAUUUCAUUUAAAACAAAACCCAUAGCAAAUCGGGAGAGAUAGAGAGUACUGGUGAGAUAAAAGUUGUGAUAGCCGAGUGUGAAGUGCGAGCUGGUAGCGAGGGGGAAGCCUGGUGCGAACAGUGAAGGCAUCCUUCUUCUGUUCCGAUCUUAGGGAGCCCCUUUCCUUUAAAAUUUGUUUAUCUUCGAUUCUUAGUACUCAAACGUCAUUCUUCUAGCUUCUUAGCCCCAAAACUUGUAGUAAUCUCACAAAACCAAAGUCUUCUUACUCUAGUACUUGCCAUCGCGACUGUGCAGGCAAUACACCACGGGGAAGGCCACCUACAGAGGGACCUGACAAUGUCCCUAAUAGGGCAGAGUUUUCUGAGGUACUUAGGGUUAUUCAAGGUUUGGCCCAUGUUGUGGAUCAGCAGGUGCAUCUACAACAAAAUAUUGAUUGUCAGUGCCUAGUUAAUGAUCAAGCUGCACAAAAUGAGACCACUGCCAGUAGUAUUUCUGAGUUUCGGGAGCUCAAUCCAUCAGAAUUCGAUGGUCGUCUUGAUCCCAUGUUAGCCGAGCGAUGGCUUAUACAGAUUGAGAAGAUUUUCUCUGUACUUGAUCUGACUGAUGAAUAGAAGGUCCCCCUUGCUAGUUUUGUUCUUGUUGGUGAGGCUGAAUAUUGGUGGCGCCUCAAACAUGAUACCUUACCUACUUUUAUCACUUAGGAGAGGUUCCUCAAUGCUCUUUAUCAGAACUUUUUUCUGGUCUAGGUCUGUGAGAAGAAAGAAAAUGAGUUUCACGAACUCAAGUAAGGCGACACGUCAAUUAGUAAUUAUGCUGCCAAGUUUGUACAAUUGUCCAUAUUUGCACCUAAGUUGGUCUCCACUGAGAUCAAGAGGGCCUGACGAUUCCUAAAGGGUCAUAGAGCAGAUAUUUAUGACCGUGUGGCUAUGUUUAAGCCAAACACUUAUGCUGAGGUCCUUGACGGUACUCAAUUAAUAUAAGAGUUACUUUAUGCUCUGUUCAAACAAACUAGUGGUUCUAGGCUUCUUGAUCAUCUGAAGAGGAAGCAACCAUCUCAGGGUCUAGUUGAUAAGCGACCUAGAGUUACUCUUAUUACUACUCCACCAUCAACACGUAUUGUUACCCUUUCUGGCCUAUUUAUAAGUAGUGUGGAAAUAGGCAUGGUGAUUGUCCCUAUUAUAAGGCCACCAAUGCCUAUUAUAAUUGUGGUCAGACUAGUCAUUAUGUGAAAGAUUGUCCCCAAGCAAUUCGUAAAUUAGUUUUUAGGGGUCAUGUAUUCCAAAUGGUAGAGCCAGAUGCAAAGGUUACAUUAGCCGUCAUUGAGAAUGGUGUCGAUGAGGAUGUUUGUGAUGAGUUAUCCACCGAAUUACCUCUUGAAGCUUGCUUGGAUCCCCUGGAUCCAUGAUCGUUGACGAGGGUAUGUCUUGUUAUGCACUCUGAUGAGUCCAUUUACAUAGUGAAAGAAAUAGUUUUCUUUUUUAUUUUGUAUUUUAUCGUUAUUUCUGGCUUCAGUUGUAUAUAUUAUUAGAAACUCAUAUAUUUUGUGAGGAAUUUUGUAUUGUAAAAAUUUUCACUGCAUAUAUUCUAUUUAAAUGU